UUUAUUUUUUAAUUAAAAAAAAAACUAAAUGAAAAUUGACAAGGUUUUACAAAAAACAUUGGCAUUUUUGGUAGAAGGCUGCAACUUUCCACUAGAGAGAUGGGAUUUCUCAUCCCAUUCUAAGAACUAAUUUCCAUCCACUUAAAGAUAUAAACCCCUUGAACUAACAGAAACAAUCCAUAAUAACUCAACAGUAAUAUGAAAUAAGUACAGAAGUAAAUUUGUCCUCCUUGUUACCUUAAAACCAAAAGGGAUAUUG
rnacentral:misc_RNA from 1 species